GCGGCGCGCCCUGCCGUGAGUCCGCAUCCGCCCACCUCGAGGGGCCGCACAGCCGGCUCGCCUAAGCCCUCGGUCCGCGGUCACCUGAACUUCACCUGCCUGUGCGGCGGGAGGGAGUCUCUCAGAGGCUCCUCCUCCGCAGCCCGGCUCCCCGCCGCUCGGCUUCAUCUCCCGCCAGUACGUUUCUGUCCCCUCCCUCUUUCAACUCUCGGACGCCGGGGGUGUCAGGCCGCGGCCCGGCCCCGGCGUACGACCAGGUGGAGGCGGCUCGGGCGAGCAUAGCGUGGCUAGGAAGUGGCCAUGCCUUGGCGCACCCUGGCUGUCCCGCCUAGGCCUCCAAGAACCCGGGUUUUCUGAAGAGACUCGGGGACCACCGCCCCUGCGGGAGGAGCGCAGCGUUGGCUGGCGAGCUGGCCAAUGGGAGGCGAGGACUGCAGCACAACGUGGAGCUGCUGCAGAACGUAAACACAGCCGAGCGCGCGGCUGGCCACGUGUGUUCCCGCGCGCCACCUAGUCCCCUGGGACCACCGGCAGCCGGCUGUGGCACCCCAGGGCAGCCAUGCUCAGGGAUGCCUGUCGUGUACUUUGCUCCAUCCCGCCGACCGAGAUGGAGGGAACUUCCCAUCUUGCUCUGGCUGAAAAGAAGGUUUGGAGAAUUUCUAUGACGUGUCUAAAGGCACACCUCCGGUUUGAGAAGUCAUUACACCGAAGCUGGCUCUUCCACUGACUGCUUCUGGCUUGUCCUCAGAUCUCACUCUCAGUUGGAGAUUGUGGACUGAGCUUGUGGGAGACCAAGCUCCCCUCUGCUUUCCUGCAUCAGAGGCCCCGGGCACCCGGCCCUUUCUGACAGGAGCCUGGCCCUCGCUGAAGGAAACAGGGUUCUUCUCUCUCCCCCUUUUGGUCAUUUCUUUUUCCUCUUUCUUAUUUACCUAGCAGGUGAGGGGCGAGGGUUGUAAAAGAGCCAUCCAGUCUUCAAGGUUCCCUACUCCCUCCCCUGUAAGACCUGGUUUUGAUAAAGGUUUCCAAGUUUGAAAGUUAAUAAAAAAUAAUGCCACUGACCUCUUCAUUUAUUUAUUGUUUCUGAACUGUCUACACCUCAGAGUCCAGUUUUGUUUUCCUUUCUUUCUAUGAUGCCCUGGGUGUAGACCCUGCUGGCUAACUGAGGGUGUACUUUGCACAGAAUCCAACAGAAUCUUGCCCCUGUCUUGUAAGAAUAACUACCAGGGCUUAGAGAAGAUAGAUUCCAUUGUUUGGCUUUGCACGUCACACUUUUUUUUAUGAGUCAAAUCUGACAACAGAAGAGCACAAAUCUAAAUUUUACCAGUAAUCAAGGAAAUGCAAUGAAAUACCCUUUCGACUAUCAAAUAGGCAAAAAGUAGAGAGAUUGAUAUUUUGUGCUGGC